UGGGGAAUAUUGGAAAAUGGGCGAAAGCCUGAUCCAGCCAUGCCGCGUGUGUGAAGAAGGUCUUCGGAUUGUAAAGCACUUUAAGUUGGGAGGAAGGGCAGUAAGCGAAUACCUUGCUGUUUUGACGUUACCGACAGAAUAAGCACCGGCUAACUCUGUGCCAGCAGCCGCGGUAAUACAGAGGGUGCAAGCGUUAAUCGGAAUUACUGGGCGUAAAGCGCGCGUAGGUGGUUCGUUAAGUUGAAUGUGAAAGCCCCGGGCUCAACCUGGGAACUGCAUCCAAAACUGGCGAGCUAGAGUAGGGCAGAGGGUGGUGGAAUUUCCUGUGUAGCGGAGAAAUGCGUAGAUAUAGGAAGGAACACCAGUGGCGAAGGCGACCACCUGGGCUCAUACUGACACUGAGGUGCGAAAGCGUGGGGAGCAAACAGG
rnacentral:rRNA from 1 species